rnacentral:tRNA from 1 species
GUUAGAGUGGCAGAAAGUGUAUCAAUUUUAGAAGUUGCUAAUGAUUAAUUUAAAUCCUUUAAUA